GGUAGACAGCUAAGUUGUCACAAACUGUGUAAAU
rnacentral:misc_RNA from 1 species